UCCCGCGUAGCUCAGGCGGUAGAGCGUACGCCUCUGACCGGGAGGAUCCGUGUUCGAUCCUCGCCGUCGACU